AACGAACGCUGGCGGCAUGCCUAACACAUGCAAGUCGAACGAGACCUCCCGGCUUAGUGGCGCACGGGUGCGUAACGCGUGGGGACCUGCCCUUAGGUUCGGAAUAACUCCCCGAAAGAGGUGCUAAUACCGGAUAAUGUCUUCGGACCAAAGAUUUAUCGCCUUUGGAUGGGGCCGCGUUGGAUUAGCUAGUUGGUAGGGUAAAAGCCUACCACGGCGACGAUCCAUAGCUGGUCUGAGAGGAGGAUCAGCCACACUGGGACUGAGACACGGCCCCGACGCCAAGGGGAGGCAGCAGUGGGGAAUAUAGGAGCGUGGGCGAGAGGCUGAUCCGGCAAUGGCGCGUGAGUGAUGAAGGCCUUAUGGUUGUAAAGCGCUUGUACCCAGGAUGAUAAUGACAGUACCGGGAGAAUAAGCUCCGGCUAACUCCGUG
rnacentral:rRNA from 1 species